CGGCGGGGGGGGGGGGGGCACGGGGGGCCUACGGGAGGCAGCAGUGGGGAAUUUUGGACAAUGGGGGCAACCCUGAUCCAGCAAUGCCGCGUGAGUGAAGAAGGCCUUCGGGUUGUAAAGCUCUUUUGUCAGGGAAGAAACGGUGCGAGCUAAUAUCUCGUGC
rnacentral:rRNA from 1 species